GUCAGGUUGUCGCAUUUCUCCCUCAACGUCGAUCUCUCUAGAAUCUCCUUCUUCCGUCGGCGAACUCAUUCCGAUCUCUUUCUCUGGCGAAUUCCACUCGUAAGAAACUCUCCAAUCUCUCUUCUGUUCCAAUAUUCUUUUCUUUUGUAAUUAAACUGAUUCUAUAAUCAAAUUUUCUUCCCGUAUUGUUUUAAAUUUAAGCUGGCAUUACAUGCUGAUUGCUUGUAUGAAAAAUCAGUGUAGUAAUUAAUACAAUAAAAAGGUAGAACCUUUAUCAUUGUUUUAUGGGUCCUGCUCUUGCAUCACUUUAGUGGAACUUUGCGACUAUCAAGUCAUUUUUCCAUUCUUGCUAAUUAUAUUAAAAUUCCAGGUUUCAUUUUUUUCUUCUCACGGGCCAUAAGAUCAAGGUUAGUUUGUUAGAUUACUUGAAAAUCAAUAUCUCUAUUAAAAGUAACUAAUAACUCGCAAUUAUUAGUUUCUUUUUCCUUGGAAGGAGCAAUUGAUAGGAACAUGUUGCUGUCGAGAAUUGUGGUAGAAGGUUAGUAGGCAGUCGUGUGUGUGUCUUUCCCGUACCAGUAGGAUUAGUUUUUAACCUUGUAUGUGAUAAAUAUCUGUGACUACAUGUUGUUAAGUACGUUUGUUUUCUUAAUUAAAUUGUUGUUGCUACUGCUAUCUUUUCAUCUUUUUUUGAUACGGGUCUAUCAGAAACCUCUCUACCUUCAAGGUAGGGGUAAGUUUUGUGUACAACCCAAUUGUGGGAUUAUAUUGAGUUUUGUUGUUGUUGUUGUUGUUAUUGAAGGAGCAAUUAUUAUUAGUUCUUGAAGGGUGCACUGUAGUGUAUACUACAUCCAGGAGUUUGGUAAUCUUGUUUGAUUGAAAAAUGACCCCUGAAAUUAUGUAGUGAAUUAGUUACAAGAGAUGUAGAAGAAGAAGUGGGAGCACGAUAACUUCAGCUUAUUGAGUAAUUUGUAUGCCUGUUGUAUUUAGCAUCAAAUAUACUUUAGCUUGUUGGUCUACAAUCUCAGCGGAAGCUAAAAAUUCUGUCUAAACCUUGAUGAGAGGAAUUACCCGGUACUUGUGUUGGUGGGCUAGUAGCAGGUAUCGGGUGAAUAGCGAGUUACACGCAAGUUUGACUGAUACCACCAUCAUUAAAAAAAAGAGAAAAAGAGAGAAGAAUCAUGUUGGUCUAGUGAAUCUGCUUGUAGCACAUUGGAUAUUCUGCUUCUUUUGCAUAUCCAUGUUACAACUGGCAAUACAUGGUGGUUUCUCAAAAUGAUUGUUCAUUUUGAUACUUGAAGCUAAUUCUAAUAUUAAAACAAUAAAUCAAGCUUUCCUUGCCUAUUCACUGAUGAAGACAAGCUUGAGGUUGACGAUUUUUGCCAGAAAUAAAAAAACAAACAAAAGGAAUUUGAUGUUUUUGGGGUAUGAUGAGAUGUGAAUAGUUUUCUGUUUUUCAAGUUUAAUUAGUGCCUGAAAUGGGUAAAUGUUGUCCUUUGAUUAUGCUGUGUAGUGCCAGACUUGUUUGAGGAUUCUUGUGGGAUUUGAGGUCUGCAAAUAGGCAAUAAGUUAACAUAAGAAGACAGGAAAAGGAUAAAAUCUGGGUGUUGCACUCGGGGUUCUUUAGCGUUUAGUUGUAUCAUCCAUCUUCUCUUGUGUACAUUUUAGAGACUCACGCAAAUCAAAUAUGGAGUUCAAACUCGUCCUUACAUCAUUUGACUUUUAUCUGGGUUGUCAGCUCAAUCCAACUCUUUCACAAAUUUAAUCCUUGAAACGCCAGUUAGGUAGUUAUUGUUGUUUUUGAUGACUUGAUGGUCGAUUGCCUAGUAUCCCUGCGGAAUGAAAAAAAACUGCAAUGAUACAUUAUUCUGCGUUACUCGCAAAAGGAGGGGUGGAUGGGUUUUUGAUUUUCUUAUCCUGGUGAAUUUUCACCUAUUAUACCUAGAUAGGAACAUGGAGAAAU
rnacentral:lncRNA from 1 species